UGAGGAAUAUUGGGUCAAUGGGCGCAGGCCUGAACCAGCCAAGUCGCGUGAGGGAAGACGGUCCUACGGAUUGUAAACCUCUUUUGUCGGGGAGUAACGUGCGGGACGGGUCCCGUAUUGAGAGUACCCGAAGAAAAAAGCAUCGGCUAACUCCGUGCCAGCAGCCGCGGUAAUACGGAGGAUGCGAGCGUUAUCCGGAUUUAUUGGGUUUAAAGGGUGCGCAGGCGGCGCGCCAAGUCAGCGGUCAAAGUUCCGGGCUCAACCCGGUGUCGCCGUUGAAACUGGCGUGCUCGAGUGCGUGCGAGGAAGGCGGAAUGCGUUGUGUAGCGGUGAAAUGCAUAGAUAUGACGCAGA
rnacentral:rRNA from 1 species